rnacentral:rRNA from 1 species
GGAUCCAGACUUUGAUCCUGGCUCAGGAUGAACGCUAGCUACAGGCUUAACACAUGCAAGUCGAGGGGAAACGACAUCGAAAGCUUGCUUUUGAUGGGCGUCGACCGGCGCACGGGUGAGUAACGCGUAUCCAACCUGCCCACCACUUGGGGAUAACCUUGCGAAAGUAAGACUAAUACCCAAUGACGUCUCUAGAAGACAUCUGAAAGAGAUUAAAGAUUUAUCGGUGAUGGAUGGGGAUGCGUCUGGUUAGCUUGUUGGCGGGGUAACGGCCCACCAAGGCGACGAUCAGUAGGGGUUCUGAGAGGAAGGUCCCCCACAUUGGAACUGAGACACGGUCCAAACUCCUACGGGAGGCAGCAGUGAGGAAUAUUGGUCAAUGGACGAGAGUCUGAACCAGCCAAGUAGCGUGCAGGAUGACGGCCCUAUGGGUUGUAAACUGCUUUUAUAAGGGAAUAAAGUGAGUCUCGUGAGACUUUUUGCAUGUACCUUAUGAAUAAGGACCGGCUAAUUCCGUGCCAGCAGCCGCGGUAAUACGGAAGGUCCGGGCGUUAUCCGGAUUUAUUGGGUUUAAAGGGAGCGUAGGCCGGAGAUUAAGCGUGUUGUGAAAUGUAGACGCUCAACGUCUGCACUGCAGCGCGAACUGGUUUCCUUGAGUACGCACAAAGUGGGCGGAAUUCGUGGUGUAGCGGUGAAAUGCUUAGAUAUCACGAAGAACUCCGAUUGCGAAGGCAGCUCACUGGAGCGCAACUGACGCUGAAGCUCGAAAGUGCGGGUAUCGAACAGGAUUAGAUACCCUGGUAGUCCGCACGGUAAACGAUGGAUGCCCGCUGAUGGUCUGAAUAGGUCAGCGGCCAAGCGAAAGCGUUAAGCAUCCCACCUGGGGAGUACGCCGGCAACGGUGCAACUCAAAUGAAUUGACGG